rnacentral:rRNA from 1 species
GGUCAAGUGAAGAAGCGCAUACGGUGGAUGCCUUGGCAGUCAGAGGCGAUGAAAGACGUGGUAGCCUGCGAAAAGCUUCGGGGAGUCGGCAAACAGACUGUGAUCCGGAGAUGUCUGAAUGGGGGAACCCAGCCAUCAUAAGAUGGUUAUCUUACACUGAAUACAUAGGUGUAAGAGGCGAACCAGGGGAACUGAAACAUCUAAGUACCCUGAGGAAAAGAAAUCAACCGAGAUUCCCUUAGUAGUGGCGAGCGAACGGGGACCAGCCCUUAAGUUGUAUUGAGAUUAGCGGAACGCUCUGGAAAGUGCGGCCAUAGUGGGUGAUAGCCCUGUACGCGAAAAUCCCUUUGCAAUGAAAUCGAGUAGGACGGGGCACGAGAAACCUUGUCUGAAUAUGGGGGGACCAUCCUCCAAGGCUAAAUACUACUGACUGACCGAUAGUGAACCAGUACCGUGAGGGAAAGGCGAAAAGAACCGCGGAGAGCGGAGUGAAAUAGAUCCUGAAACCGUAUGCGUACAAGCAGUGGGAGCCCACUUUGUUGGGUGACUGCGUACCUUUUGUAUAAUGGGUCAGCGACUUAUUUUCAGUGGCGAGCUUAACCGAAUAGGGGAGGCGUAGCGAAAGCGAGUCUUAAUAGGGCGUCUAGUCGCUGGGAAUAGACCCGAAACCGGGCGAUCUAUCCAUGGGCAGGUUGAAGGUUGGGUAACACUAACUGGAGGACCGAACCGACUACCGUUGAAAAGUUAGCGGAUGACCUGUGGAUCGGAGUGAAAGGCUAAUCAAGCUCGGAGAUAGCUGGUUCUCCUCGAAAGCUAUUUAGGUAGCGCCUCAUGUAUCACUGUAGGGGGUAGAGCACUGUUUCGGCUAGGGGGUCAUCCCGACUUACCAAACCGAUGCAAACUCCGAAUACCUACAAGUGCCGAGCAUGGGAGACACACGGCGGGUGCUAACGUCCGUCGUGAAAAGGGAAACAACCCAGACCGUCAGCUAAGGUCCCAAAGUCAUGGUUAAGUGGGAAAUCUUUAAAGAAAGCGUAAUAGCUCACUAGUCGAGUCGGCCUGCGCGGAAGAUGUAACGGGGCUCAAACCAUGCACCGAAGCUACGGGUAUCAUCUUAUGAUGAUGCGGUAGAGGAGCGUUCUGUAAGCCUGUGAAGGUGAGUUGAGAAGCUUGCUGGAGGUAUCAGAAGUGCGAAUGCUGACAUGAGUAACGACAAUGGGUGUGAAAAACACCCACGCCGAAAGACCAAGGUUUCCUGCGCAACGUUAAUCGACGCAGGGUUAGUCGGUCCCUAAGGCGAGGCUGAAAAGCGUAGUCGAUGGAAAACAGGUUAAUAUUCCUGUACUUCUGGUUAUUGCGAUGGAGGGACGGAGAAGGCUAGGCCAGCCUGGCGUUGGUAGUCCAGGUUUAAGGUGGUAGGCUGAGAUCUUAGGUAAAUCCGGGAUCUUAAGGCCGAGAGCUGAUGACGAGUGUUCUUUUAGAACAUGAAGUGGUUGAUGCCAUGCUUCCAAGAAAAGCUUCUAAGCUUCAGGUAACCAGGAACCGUACCCCAAACCGACACAGGUGGUUGGGUAGAGAAUACCAAGGCGCUUGAGAGAACUCGGGUGAAGGAACUAGGCAAAAUGGCACCGUAACUUCGGGAGAAGGUGCGCCGGUGAGGGUGAAGCAUUUACUGCGUAAGCCCACGCCGGUCGAAGAUACCAGGCCGCUGCGACUGUUUAUUAAAAACACAGCACUCUGCAAACACGAAAGUGGACGUAUAGGGUGUGACGCCUGCCCGGUGCCGGAAGGUUAAUUGAUGGGGUUAGCGCAAGCGAAGCUCUUGAUCGAAGCCCCGGUAAACGGCGGCCGUAACUAUAACGGUCCUAAGGUAGCGAAAUUCCUUGUCGGGUAAGUUCCGACCUGCACGAAUGGCGUAACGAUGGCGGCGCUGUCUCCACCCGAGACUCAGUGAAAUUGAAAUCGCUGUGAAGAUGCAGUGUAUCCGCGGCUAGACGGAAAGACCCCGUGAACCUUUACUAUAGCUUUGCACUGGACUUUGAAUUUGCUUGUGUAGGAUAGGUGGGAGGCUUUGAAGCGUGGACGCCAGUCUGCGUGGAGCCAACCUUGAAAUACCACCCUGGCAACUUUGAGGUUCUAACUCAGGUCCGUUAUCCGGAUCGAGGACAGUGUAUGGUGGGUAGUUUGACUGGGGCGGUCUCCUCCUAAAGAGUAACGGAGGAGUACGAAGGUGCGCUCAGACCGGUCGGAAAUCGGUCGUAGAGUAUAAAGGCAAAAGCGCGCUUGACUGCGAGACAGACACGUCGAGCAGGUACGAAAGUAGGUCUUAGUGAUCCGGUGGUUCUGUAUGGAAGGGCCAUCGCUCAACGGAUAAAAGGUACUCCGGGGAUAACAGGCUGAUACCGCCCAAGAGUUCAUAUCGACGGCGGUGUUUGGCACCUCGAUGUCGGCUCAUCACAUCCUGGGGCUGAAGCCGGUCCCAAGGGUAUGGCUGUUCGCCAUUUAAAGUGGUACGCGAGCUGGGUUUAGAACGUCGUGAGACAGUUCGGUCCCUAUCUGCCGUGGACGUUUGAGAUUUGAGAGGGGCUGCUCCUAGUACGAGAGGACCGGAGUGGACGAACCUCUGGUGUUCCGGUUGUCACGCCAGUGGCAUUGCCGGGUAGCUAUGUUCGGAAAAGAUAACCGCUGAAAGCAUCUAAGCGGGAAACUUGCCUCAAGAUGAGAUCUCACUGGAACCUUGAGUUCCCUGAAGGGCCGUCGAAGACUACGACGUUGAUAGGUUGGGUGUGUAAGCGCUGUGAGGCGUUGAGCUAACCAAUACUAAUUGCCCGUGAGGCUUGACCAUAUAACACCCAAGCUGUGUAAGCGCUGUGAGGCGUUGAGCUAACCAAUACUAAUUGCCCGUGAGGCUUGACCAUAUAACACCC